rnacentral:rRNA from 1 species
UACGAAGGGGGCUAGCGUUGCUCGGAAUCACUGGGCGUAAAGCGCACGUAGGCGGAUUCCUAAGUCGGUGGUGAAAUCCUGGAGCUCAACUCCAGAACUGCCUUUGAUACUGAGGAGCUUGAGUCCGGGAGAGGUGAGUGGAACUGCGAGUGUAGAGGUGAAAUUCGUAGAUAUUCGCAAGAACACCAGUGGCGAAGGCGGCUCACUGGCCCGGUACUGACGCUGAGGUGCGAAAGCGUGGGGAGCAAACAGGG